AGUAAAUAAAUUUAAAUAUCUCAACCUCAAAAUGGUUCAGCAGGACUCUUGUAAAAAGUGAUUAAUUUUCGUGAAUUCUUGUUAAUCGCAAUGCUUGUCGAGAAAUGAGAUUCGAAAGCGGAAAGUCUGAAAGAGAGAGAGAGAGAGAGAGAGAAAGAGAGAGAAAAAGGGAAAACGAGAAAAUGCGUAAUUAACAUAUAAGGAGUUUAUCAAAGUUCGAUACCUCGUGGCUCCAGACGCAUGUAACAUCAGUGUUAGGAAAGUAGCGUUUAGAAUUUGCGUUCGCACAAACAGCGGCCGCUGCCAAAGAGAGAAAUUGCGGAGCAAGACGAUGGCGGAUUUCAAGGAGGAGGCGGAACUGGCCUGGAUCUCUAAAUGCGAUCUCACGGAUAGCACCGAUGGA